CUUAUAUUAAGAAGAAAUAAAAAGACAAGUGGAACAUGGCACAUUCUCAUGGUUUCGUUGGUGAAGAAAGUGGUGCAAUCCUAAAUGUGUGAACCUCACUCUGUAAUACAAACUCAGAAAGGAUUGAGUUGAUAUUCAGAUCAUUUCAGCUUUUCUGUUUCUUCCAUUUUCUUCUCACUGGUUUAUAUAUUAGACUUCAUCUGAAGAAGCUCCUUUUCACAUGGAAAACAAUGUCGUCAACAAUGGACAAAAGCAAAAUUUGUCUUCAUUCGAAGCUGCCAUGGAGAAGAUUUCAUCUCUUAUUACUCGCCAAAGGCGAGGGGAAAAGCCACCGAUUGCUAACAAAUUAGAAAUAAUGUCAUUGUAUCUUAAGAUACUGGGUUUGGAGGAAGGUAUAAAUAGGCUCAACAUUAUUCAUGUGGCAGGCACAAAGGGGAAGGGUUCAACAUGCAUAUUCUGUGAGGCAAUUUUAAGGGAGUGUGGCUUUCGCACUGGAGUUUUCACAUCCCCUCACCUAAUUGACGUUCGGGAACGAUUUCGUAUUGAUGGGAUGGACAUAUCUGAAGACAAAUUUUUGCAAUAUUUCUGGGAAUGUUGGAAUCAAUUGGAGGAAAACACAUCGGAGAAGCUUUCAAUGCCCCCGCUAUUUCUGUUUCUUACUAUAUUGGCAUUCAAAAUAUUUAUAUCUGAACAGGUUGAUGCUGCCAUUAUUGAAGUUGGACUUGGAGGCAAAGAAGACUCAACUAAUGUGAUAAAAAAGCCCACUGUUUGUGGCAUUACUUCUCUUGGCAUGGAUCACACUGAAAUAUUGGGAGAUACUCUUGGACAGAUAGCUUCACACAAGGCAGGGAUUUUUAAGCCUAAAGUUCCUGCCUUCACAGUACCACAACCUCCGGAAGCAAUGGAUGUUAUCCUUGAGAGAGCCAAAGAACUCAUGGUUCCCCUGGAAGUGACUGAACCUUUAGAUUGUAAACAAAUAAAGGGAUUAAAGCUUGGUUUAUCUGGUGAUCACCAAUUCUAUAAUGCUGCUCUUGCAGUCUCACUUUGUAGAUGCUGGCUUCAGAAAACUGGGAACUGGGAAAAGAAAUAUCAAAAUCAAUUUCAGGAUUCUAAUUUGCCAGAUGAAUUUAUGAGAGGCCUUUCAACUGCUCAUUUUUCUGGAAGGGCUCAGAUUGUUUAUGCCUCCACUUCAAAUUCCCACUGUUCAGAAAUUGUGUCCAAAAAUUGUGGAGAGUUGAUAUUUUAUUUGGAUGGAGCUCAUAGUCCGGAGAGCAUGGAGGCUUGUGCAAAGUGGUUCUCUAAUGCUGUAGAAAUUCCAUCAGAGUCGUCUUUUGAAGUGCAAAAGGCAGAUGGAUCUUCAGAAAAUGGUCACAUACUACACAAAGGAAAUACCUUGGGGCAGUACGAGAAAUCUUUUAAGCGGAUUCUCCUAUUCAAUUGCUUAGAUGUGAGAAAUCCCCAUAUUUUGCUUCCACGGCUGGUGAAUACAUGUGCUUCUUCAGGUAUUCAUUUCUCAAGAGCACUUUUUGUCCCAAAUAUGUCAAAAUAUAGUAAGGUUGUUUCUGGUGCAUCAGUUAUUUCUUCUGACCUCCAUGGCAUAGAUCUGUCAUGGCAAUUUAACCUCCAAAGAAUUUGGGAGAAGAUUACACACGGGAAAGAAAUAACCGUGCCAAUUGAGAAGGAUUUCAAGAUAGAUAGCAAGGAGAUCGUACCACCUCCUGAGUUUCUUAACGAUAAUGCUUCAAGUGGUGAUCAUUCUCAUAACUGUUUUGCGAGCAGUGCAGUAAUACCUUCAUUACCAUUGACAAUCAAAUGGCUGCAGGAUUGUGUCAAAGAACACCCUUCCACAAGACUUCAGGUGUCUCAUUUGUGUAUGACACCUCGUCUUGUUCAACCACUAUGUUCCUGAAAGUCAAGUUUAUUCUGUUGGGUUGGAUUUAGUAACAUUUGUUUCUUCUCUUUUCCUUGCCUUAUACAUUUCACCAUUAAUGGUGGUGAAACCCAGUGAUGUAUUAUUCUGGUUAACCACUGGUUCGUAUAAUCUGUCUUUGAAAGAUGGAGAAUGGUGCUUCCUUUUACAUUUUUUUUCUCCUUAUUCAUGGGACAGAAAAAAAGUUCUUGUCACUGGAUCACUGCAUCUUGUUGGGGAUGUGCUAAAGCUCUUGAAAAGAUGAUUUAAAUUGAAGACAUUUUGUUGUACCAAAAACUUAUCAUUCUGUCAAUCCUCCUAGCAGACAUUAUGCUCAUGUGACUGCUCAAUAGUCUGACAAUGAUUUAUUCUUUACAAUUCUGACCAAUUAUGUGCUCAAUUCUUUACACCACAACAAAAAAUGGAAACAAGAACCUUUUUAGAUA